GUUAUUUUUUUAUAACCAUAAUUUAAUUCUGUUAAAUUGAAAUGUAACAUUACAUACACAGUGAUAAAGGAUUUUAUCCAUAGUAGUAGAGUUAUGGUAAAAUAUCCCUAAAUGUAUGAACUGCCUUUAUUUCUUAGCAUUUUGGUGAAAUUCUUACCAUGAACAUGUAACAAAGAGGUACAAAUGAACUCAGAAAUGUUUCUGAAUUUUCACUUUAUUGGAAAUGACAGACUUAAGUUAAUCUGAGUAUCUGCAGCAAACGUCUUGUGUAGUCUGAACACAGCUGCCUCUAAUGAAGCACUAAUUACGUUAAGCACACAUUUUGACUUGUAGCAGGAAGCACAGGUGUUUCUAAUAACAUUAAUUGCUCCAGUCCAGGAAGAGGAACAGUCGUCAUGUUUGCUGUGAAAACAAUCUGUAGGUCUCUUCAUUCGUUUAGCUUGUUGGUGAAAAACUCGAAAGACCCCCAGCAGGAGCUCUCCUCCUGUCAGUGAGAAAUCCCGAUCCAGAACGAUCCACUUCUGAAUGCGCUGAGCGUUGGAGCUUGCCUUCUCAUUCACUCUGUUGAUUCCCUCCUGAAUGGCAGCUUGGAUGGACCGGUCUCGACCGCCUGCGAUCUCAGAGACUCGUGUGGCGUUGCUGCCCAGCUUCCUGCAGAGCUCCACAGCUUCUGGUGUCAGCUCGUCCUCUGGAUCUCCUGACUCUGCGUUUACCUGGCACUGGAGAGAAAAACAUAUAAAAAAAAGAUCACCUGAGUGCAGCCAGCCCUCUGCAUCGAGAGCCUCCUCCGUCUUGUCGGCCAUGUUGAGGUAACCCAUGAAGACGUGACGGCCCCAGAAGCAGAUCUCACCGUUUCCCUCCUCGUCUGGGUUGUGCAGCUUCGUCUUGCACCCCGGGAUCUCUUUACCACAGCUGCAGGACAAAACAACAUUUUUAUAAUUCAGCAGCAAGCACGUGUUUUGAGUUGGCUCUGAUUUGACAAUGCAAGGAAAUUCUGUGACAAAUUUUAGAAGUAAAAUGUACCUGGUGAGCUUGAAGGCUUCAGGGACGGAGACGGUGUGAGGCCCGGUGCUCUCACUCAUGCCGUACAGCUCGUACAGAGGGACGUCCAGGCUAAGGAAGAACUCCAGGGUGUCUUUGGUGAUGGGAGCGGCGCCGGUGUAGCACUUGGUACAGCGGUCCAGGCCCAGAGCCUUACGCACCUUUUUGAACACAAGCUUUUUGGCUAAUUGAUAGCUGAGCGGUGUGCGGCCAGCUGCUCCGCUUCUGAGGAGAGACAAAAAACACCAAGUGAGUGUUUUGAACCACGCUGCACGGGCAUCUUGGGAUGGCAAUGUCAGCCAGUCUGUUCACACUGAAAUAUCUCACUAUUGGAUGGAUUGCCUUGAAAUCUUGUAGAGAUAUUCAUGUUCCUGAGAGGAUGAAUCCUGCUGACUGUGUGAUACCUGGACUUUUCAUCUAGUGCCAUCAUCGGGGUUAAAAAUCUAUACUUUUUGUUUAUGACCACAUUUCUGCAAAACUAAUGACAAUCCCAUCAUCUUUGGCUGUACUUAGCUGAAUACAUGUUUGCAUGGUGACGUUAGCAUUUAGCUCCAAGCCCAGCCUCACAGAGCAUGUUUGUAGACUCUUCGUCUAGUUGUGUAAUGACUUAAACAGGCUCACAUAAAUCCAGCAUCCAACAGAUUCAUUUGAAACAUAAUGUCAUAAACUCAUUUUAAACCUCUCAAAAUGUCUAGAUAGCAAAAAAUGACUUGCUUCGCCAAUAUUCCUAUAAUCAAAGUGAUGGCAUAAGAGGGAGGUAAAAACAUUUCACAAAUAACAUUUCAUUUAAAAAGAUGGAACCAAAGCAUGUAAACAAGAACAAAAAAUGACUUAAGCUUGUUUAAAUAAAGCUGUGAUUUGA